UCGAUCAUAUUACUCAUUUACUCCAUCACUGACCAGAUCUGCAGGACACUAGUGCCAGUGCUCACUACACUGCCUCAAUGACACCUCAGCAGACAUGGACGGACAGAUAUCUGAAUUUGGAUAUUUUAUAUAGUUUAGCUGGCCAUCUUCUUUACUGUUCUUUUUUAUAUAGAUUUUGCUUCACAGGAUUGGUGGAACUCGACACCCUUUGACAAUUACUACCACACCUGGAACGUGGUGGUUAAUGACUGGCUGUAUUACUAUGUAUAUUGUGAAUUCCUAAGGGUUCUUUCCCCACUCCACCACCUGACAGAUGUCAAAGAAGACAUUUCUGGCUGCAGGCAUGUUUUUGGUCUUCACUGUGUCUGCAGUAGUGCAUGAGUACAUCCUGGCUAUCUGCUUUGGCUUUUUCUACCCAGUCCUCUUCUGCCUCUUCGUGUGCUUCCGGAAAGAAAAGGCCCAAUUUGGAACGUGAUCAUGUGGACUGCUCUGUUCCUCGGCCAGGGGGUCAUCAUCUUCCUCUACUCCCAGGAGUAGUAUGUACAGCGCUACUGCCCCCUUCAAGAGGAAAACAUCACUGCACAUAUUGGAAAAUAUACAAUUUUGCCUCGUAUAUAAUUAACUUUAUACUUGAGUAGAGGCUCUUAUCUAGGGUGACUUAGAUGAGCAAGUAUGGUUAAGUGCCUUGCUCAAGGGCACAUCGACAGAUUUUUCACCGAAUUAACCUUUCGGUUACUGGGGCAGUGCUCUUAACCGCUAGGCUAGCUGGCGCCCUUUCUAGUUYUAUCAAAGUUCCCAUUCCUUUUAGCUGGGGGAAAUUACUAUACUCUUUCAUUUCAAAUGCACUUUCAAGACCAAUAUGGUAAAUCGUGAAAUGGCAGCUUUGCCUAAAAGUUUACCUUUUUUCAAACAUGCAGUAAUAUAUUUAGCAAAUAAUCUAGUUAGAGAAUGUUUGUGAGUGUUUCAUGUUCAGUUUCUGUAUUUUGUGUCUACCGGUCCAGGGUGUUUUCAAUCAUGUUGAGGGAUUAUUCAACAAAAUGUAGCUUUAUUUGCAAUGUUAUUACUGGUAGGACUACUAUGAAUGUUACUAUGAAUGAUUGUUUUGUCAGAUGU